GCCAACUUAGCUCAGCUGGUAGAGCAACGCAUUCGUAAUGCGUGGGUCGAGUGUUCGAAUCACUUAGUUGGCA
rnacentral:tRNA from 1 species